CUGUUGAAUAGAUUAAUGAACAAAUGAGAGCUCUUUUUUUGUUUGUUUGUUUUUUCAGUGCUCGAAUGAACGACAUCAUAAUAACGGACGACGGCAACUCUUAGCCCUCCGUCCACCUCUUCACGUAGCGUCCGUAUUUUCUAAGCCUUAUUUUGAAGGAGGUUUAAUUUCUACAGAACAGUACCAAGCAGAGAGAACUGUGGAUCUUCACUCACAAGAAAGUCAAAUAACAACCAAACUGCUUUAUUGAGACCUAUCCCGUUUGAGGCACUGUUAUGUUUAGUAUUAAGAAGGUCUAAGUUUUCUCAUCUUUAAAUGGGAAAUAUGAAACCCAAAGAAGUUAACAGCCACAUGCCCAAAGUCAAUCAGUCAGUAGGUCAAAAAUACUGAUUGAGAGCUGAGAAUUUGCCCCAAAUGUUUUCACUAAAAGUGCGUGAUCGAGUGACACGAAGACAAAUAAUUUGACUAUGCUACAUGAUUGGCUAUUUUAAUUGCUAAGCAGAUACAUUGUGCCUUAUGAACACAGCCAUUCAUU